rnacentral:rRNA from 1 species
ACAAAGGAGAAUUCCUUAUACAAAUAUGGAUUAUACGUAAUGUAAUCUAUUGGUCGAAAGGGAAUCGAGUUAAUAUUCUCGAACCCGGCUUCGGAGAAACGAAAGAUUAAUUAAAUUAAUCUUUUCGGUGAGCGGUAACGCAAACGACCUCGGAGAUAUUGUCGGAUGCCUCGGGAAGAUUUUCUUUUCUUUUUAG